UGUGCAUGGGCGUUCUUAGUUCGUGGAGUGAUCUGUCUGCUUAAUUGCGUUUCAAAUUUUUAACCGAGGACCGGGUUUUGGUUUGGCUAGUGGUCCUACGAUGACUGUGAACUGUCAUGUCUUCGGAUGUACGACUAUCGGUCUAGGAUCACAUGACUUGCCCCUGGGACUCUUUUGAACGCAACGGACGUGAUUGCAACCCCUUGUUGAGAUUAGAGAUAGUCUCGAUAUUCACUGGCCAAACUGGCUGCUUUAUGCAGUCUUGUUGAAUGGUGGAUAAACUCGGGGGACUGCUGACUAUAACCAUUUCUCAAAACAGAGGAAGGUUGCGGCAAUAACAGGUCUGUGAUGCCCUCAGAUGUCCCGGGCUGCACACGUGCUACAAUGAGUGGCGCAAUGUGCUAAUGUUUUAAGGGAUAAGCGUGCGGCCAGUAGAACGUCGGCAAUUGCCCUGGCGUCUUCUACCGCACGAUUAUCAGCCUUCCCUUAACAGGGCGGGCAACCUUUUCAAAAUACCGGUUUGAUGUUAAAGUAUAGAGUCGUUUUUUUUGGAUGGUGG
rnacentral:rRNA from 1 species